GCCUGCCCCCCUCCCUCAUCCCCGGCUGCGGGGUCGGCGCGCAUGCGCGGCCCUCGGCUCGGCCCGGGCGCACCUUUUCUCCCUCCUGCCACAAUGUGAGCGCUCAGCCGCGCAGAUAACCGCCGGCUGCCUGCUCCACCCCCGGCCCUCGCCCACUCCGCCCACUCCCGAGCGCCCAGAAGAAUUACCUACCUCUAUAGCUAGAGAUAGAGCCAAGGACAGUGGAUUUCUUUCCCCACAAGAUGGCUACCCUAUGGGUCAGGGGAUGGGAGCUGUCCUUUCCUGAGUGAAAUGGUAGGGGCCUUUUGCAGCCUUUCAUAACUUCCGUUGUUUAAAGGGUGGAUGGGUGAGGUAGGCAAGCUGUGCACACACACGUGUAUGGAGGCCAGAGGUCAACACUGAGUUUCUUCCUCAGACUCUUGCCAUCUUAGUUUUGAGACUGGGUCUCUCAUGGCAUCUGGGGCUCACUGACUUGGCAAGACUGGCUGACCUGCAAACCCCUGACAGCCUCUGGGCUGUUCCUCCCCCGACACUGAGGUUACAACGUGGGCCUCCGUGCUGAGAGGAUGCUGACUCCAGGAAUGGAGAAACUUUUUCCACUGCAGGAGAACAAUGUGGCGCCUCCUGGAUCGUGCCGUGUGAGCGUCUCACUAGAAGCUUCUGCAAUCCUCCCAGCAAGGCACUCUCUGAGAUGUGAAGAAGCGGGAAGGAAGUCUCUAUGGUACCAUGGUGGGCAGCACGGAAGAGCUUGGGGGCAGCCGUGAGCGCUGCUCUGUCUCACUGCAUCUGUCUCCGUUAGCGUCUGUCCUCCCCGCUCAAGCCAGUCCCUCCACUCCAUGGCAGGUGGGCCUAUCUUCCCUGCGACACACAUAGAGCGACUUAGUGGCUGUCACGGUGCCUGGUCCAUAGCCUCUGUUCUGUAGAUGUUUGCCGAGUGAGUUGGCUGUAAACAUGGGAAGGUUUCCCUUGGAAAGGCUGAUACUGCUGUUCAGAUGUUGAGCAUUACAGCACUGAUAUCUGUGUGCUACGGAGGGGAAGGAACGUGGUUGGGAAUGGGAAGGGACUCUACUGGGCAGUAAGAAUGAAAGCUUGUAGCAGGGUCCUGAAAACCCCCAGAAGCUCAGAGGGUAUCUAGUUGGCUUUGAGAAACUGCUGUGGGCUCUCUGGAUCACUCCUAGGAGAGAGCAAGUGAGCGGAAGUCUUCACAGUGAGUCCAAAGAUGGCCCGACACAGUGGGAUGCUCAAGAGGGCUUGUGCUGAGGGCUGGAUCUUUUGACUGGGUGGGUAUCAAGAUACCAGCAAGCCUUCUCGUGAAGCUUGCUUCCUGUGUGUGUGAAACUCCAGGGAACAGGCAGACUGAUGGCAUAGGUAGAGGCGGCAACCCCCCACCACCAGGGAGGAAGACGAUGUCUCUGGACUCAACUCAGAGGUUCUCCGAAGAGAAAGACUUGUUUUUCUCCAGAGAGCAGAGAAGAUAUCUCACGUACCUCACUACACGGUAACCAGCCAGAAGAUGCUUCCAGGGGCUGCUGCUCUCUAAGUGAUGUGCACGGGUGGAGAAAGGAGAUGGGGCCUCAGCCCGACGACUGUUAGAGCACUCCCUUCCUCCUCCGGUGGGUGCCUAGAGGGCCAGAACUCAUGUGUCCGGAUUGCAGGAUUCCACUCAACUCCUUAGCUAGCCAUCAGUCUGCCCUUCUCAUUCCCUUCCAGCCCUUUUCUCUUUCAUCUCAGCUCAGCGAGCAGAGACACGUCCCCGCUGGAAGCUGCUGUUAAGAAAUGUGGCCACAACACAUGUGGACACACACAACACACACACACACACACACACACCUUUCUCAGUCUAUGAGCCUUUGUCUGGCCCUUUGCUCCUGGGCCUGACCCAUCUUUAUGAGAUCAAGGCUCUUUCUAUCCCAGGAUGCCGAACCCUGGCCUCCAAUGGGACAGAGCUGGUCAUUUUGCACGUCUCCAGCCUUGCCCUCCCUUGGGGGCUUGUGGAAGAUCCACCCAUAUGGCAGAACCUUCCAGAGAGACUCGAAACCAGGAGCCUGACCUCAUGAUGCCCGAAGCGCCUGGCACAGAAGAAGGAAGGGAAGGACUGAGGCGAUGAAGGACAAGUGAGCCAUUGCAGCCGCGCUCCCGAAUACAAGCACCCUUUGUUCUGUGGGAUAAAUACAAUCCUCAGUAUUUCAGCCGCGCAGCGCCGAGGAAGUAGAAAGGCAGCUUAUUCUCCGAGAUCCAAGACCCACGACUUAAAAACUUUUUGCCGAAAUCAAAGCCUUUGUGAAGCAUUACAUCUUGUUGUUUCGAGGCAGGAUCUCAGUGUGUAUCCCUGACUGUCCCGGAACGAACUGACUGCUCUUGAACUCACAGAGAUCCACCUGUGCUGGAACGAGAGGCGUGCGCCACGGUGUUUGGCUAAGGUAUCAGUCACAUCUUAUCAGCAAUAACAUUUUAACAUGGACGCCA